rnacentral:rRNA from 1 species
AGAGUUUGAUCAUGGCUCAGAUUGAACGCUGGCGGAAUGCUUAACACAUGCAAGUCGAGCGCCCCGCAAGGGGAGCGGCAGACGGGUGAGUAACGCGUGGGAACGUGCCUUUCAGUUCGGAAUAAGCCGGGGAAACCUGGUCUAAUACCGGAUACGCCCUUAGGGGGAAAGAUUUAUCGCUGAAAGAUCGGCCCGCGUCAGAUUAGGUAGUUGGUGGGGUAAUGGCCUACCAAGCCGAUGAUCUGUAGGUGGUCUGAGAGGACGAUCACCCACACUGGGACUGAGACACGGCCCAGACUCCUACGGGAGGCAGCAGUGGGGAAUAUUGGACAAUGGGCGAAAGCCUGAUCCAGCCAUGCCGCGUGGAUGAAGAAGGCCCUAGGGUUGUAAAGUCCUUUCGGUGGUGAAGAUAAUGACGGUAACCACAUAAGA